GGGAAUGUGGCUUAGUGGUAGAGUGCUUGCCUAGCAUGCAUGAAGCCCUGGGUUCAAUUCCUAGUACCA
rnacentral:tRNA from 1 species